rnacentral:rRNA from 1 species
CCUACGGGGGGCUGCAGUGAGGAAUAUUGGUCAAUGGACGAGAGUCUGAACCAGCCAAGUAGCGUGAAGGAUGACUGCCCUAUGGGUUGUAAACUUCUUUUAUAUGGGAAUAAAACGUUCCACGUGUGGGAUUUUGUAUGUACCAUAUGAAUAAGGAUCGGCUAACUCCGGGCCAGCAGCCGCGGUAAUACGGAGGAUCCGAGCGUUAUCCGGAUUUAUUGGGUUUAAAGGGAGCGUAGGUGGAGUGUUAAGUCAGUUGUGAAAGUUUGCGGCUUAACCGUAAAAUUGCAGUUGAAACUGGCAGUCUUGAGUACAGUAGAGGUGGGCGGAAUUCGUGGUGUAGCGGUGAAAUGCUUAGAUAUCACGAAGAACUCCGAUUGCGAAGGCAGUUCACUGGACUGCAACUGACACUGAGGCUCGAAAGUGUGGGUAUCAAACAGGAUUAGAUACCCCUGUAGUC